UCGGGUGGGCACUCGUAAGGGAGACUGGCCGGUGACAACCGGAGGAAGGUGGGGAUGACGUCAAGUCAUCAUGGCCCUUACGGCCUGGGCUACACACGUGCUACAAUGGUCGGUACAAAGGGUUGCCAAGCCGCGAGGUGGAGCUAAUCCCAUAAAACCGAUCGUAGUCCGGAUCGCAGUCUGCAACUCGACUGCGUGAAGUCGGAAUCGCUAGUAAUCGUGAAUCAGAAUGUCACGGUGAAUACGUUCCCGGGCCUU
rnacentral:rRNA from 1 species